GCGUGGGACACGCCUCCCCAACGAGGCGCGACUAUCUGAGAGGGUAGCCUUC
rfam:Lutibaculum baratangense AMV1 contig00010, whole genome shotgun sequence.